UCACAUGACGGCUCUAAUGUCUCUACUGAGAUUCCUCAAUAUUCUACAAUGAAAAUGUCGACUGUUUUUAAUCAUGGAGUCGUUUGUGGAAACAUUUUUGAACCUGCAAAGAAGGCUAUCAAGAGCACAAGACAGUCGGUACAACAGAGACCUAAGAGAGCUCUUACCAAAAAUAGUUUAAUAAAUUCAUAUGGGUCUCCAAAUCAACCAGAGGACUGUCAUACUCAUGAUGAACGCACGCCUCGCUGACCGCUGUGUUUCCACCUUGGAUCCUCAUGAUUCCUACACAAAAAAUACUGAAAAUCAGGUAAGAGAUCCAGGUACAAUCAAGGAAUGCUGCUCAUGAUCAACAAAUCAUGCAGUAUAAAACAAAAAACAAAGGUUACUUUCUUCCUACCAGCAGUGACACAUCAACGACCUUGGUAUGGCAUACAAAUAAGUAAUCCUACAACUGUACAUUAUAUAAUCCCAUAACAAUGCCUUUAGUCAAACAAAAUCUUUACUGAUGACUGAUGAGGUUUUUAUUUCUUGAUUACAUGGUUUUGGUUUUAACUGCUGCCCAACCAAAAUCUGAUGGUUCACAUCAGAGAUAUAAACGAUGAGCUGAUACAUACAGUGCUUGAAGUGGCUUAUGUUUCUGAUUCCAAGAACGAGACGAUUGUAAGGUGUACUUAUAAUCCGAUAGAGAUUUGUACGAUGAUAAUAUGAGACUGUUCCGGGUGUGGAAUAAGAAUAGCUGAACUUCCGUUGGUAGUGCGGGCCGGCUGGUAUCUGCACAACAUAAUAGAUUAACUAGCCUCGGCGGUGGUUCGAGGAUCCCCUCCGAUGCCUAAGUAAGAUUACCAGUAUGUUCUUUCCUCUUCUUCUUGGAGAUGUGUGUUCUCUCAGAUUAUCCUGAUUCUCUUCCCAGGAUCUUAGAGGACGUAGACAAGCAGCUGGAGGGAUGUUGGUGAAUGGUGAGUGAAAAAAAUACGUGGGAUGAUAAAGAAUGAGUUGAUUUAAUACAAUUGAAUCAAAUUUUUGUUACCGUGGAGAAUUUUUCAACCUGAUUUGUCUAGAAAAAAAUUUAUUAAGGGGACUCGCUCGACGGAGCAUAAGACCACUUGGGGCUUUGGGUUGAAAAUGGUGUUCCAAGCAAU